GUUGGUGGAGUGAUCUGUCUGGUUAAUUCCGUUAACGAACGAGACCUUAGCCUGCUAAAUAGGUAGCUGAAAUCAUACGAUUUCAGUUAUCUUUCUUAGAGGGACUUUGUGCGUUUUUAGCACAAGGAAGUUUGAGGCAAUAACAGGU
rnacentral:rRNA from 1 species